rnacentral:rRNA from 2 species
UUUUAUUAUGAGAGUUUGAUCCUGGCUCAGGACGAACGCUGGCGGCGUGCCUAAUACAUGCAAGUCGAACGCUUCUUUUCCCACCGGAGCUUGCUCCACCGGGAAAAGAGGAGUGGCGAACGGGUGAGUAACACGUGGGUAACCUGCCCAUCAGAAGGGGAUAACACUUGGAAACAGGUGCUAAUACCGUAUAACAAUCGAAACCGCAUGGUUUCGUUUUGAAAGGCGCUUUACGGUGCCGCUGAUGGAUGGACCCGCGGUGCAUUAGCUAGUUGGUGAGGUAACGGCUCACCAAGGCCACGAUGCAUAGCCGACCUGAGAGGGUGAUCGGCCACAUUGGGACUGAGACACGGCCCAAACUCCUACGGGAGGCAGCAGUAGGGAAUCUUCGGCAAUGGACGAAAGUCUGACCGAGCAACGCCGCGUGAGUGAAGAAGGUUUUCGGAUCGUAAAACUCUGUUGUUAGAGAAGAACAAGGGUGAGAGUAACUGUUCACCCCUUGACGGUAUCUAACCAGAAAGCCACGGCUAACUACGUGCCAGCAGCCGCGGUAAUACGUAGGUGGCAAGCGUUGUCCGGAUUUAUUGGGCGUAAAGCGAGCGCAGGCGGUUUCUUAAGUCUGAUGUGAAAGCCCCCGGCUCAACCGGGGAGGGUCAUUGGAAACUGGGAGACUUGAGUGCAGAAGAGGAGAGUGGAAUUCCAUGUGUAGCGGUGAAAUGCGUAGAUAUAUGGAGGAACACCAGUGGCGAAGGCGGCUCUCUGGUCUGUAACUGACGCUGAGGCUCGAAAGCGUGGGGAGCAAACAGGAUUAGAUACCCUGGUAGUCCACGCCGUAAACGAUGAGUGCUAAGUGUUGGAGGGUUUCCGCCCUUCAGUGCUGCAGCUAACGCAUUAAGCACUCCGCCUGGGGAGUACGACCGCAAGGUUGAAACUCAAAGGAAUUGACGGGGGCCCGCACAAGCGGUGGAGCAUGUGGUUUAAUUCGAAGCAACGCGAAGAACCUUACCAGGUCUUGACAUCCUUUGACCACUCUAGAGAUAGAGCUUCCCCUUCGGGGGCAAAGUGACAGGUGGUGCAUGGUUGUCGUCAGCUCGUGUCGUGAGAUGUUGGGUUAAGUCCCGCAACGAGCGCAACCCUUAUUGUUAGUUGCCAUCAUUUAGUUGGGCACUCUAGCAAGACUGCCGGUGACAAACCGGAGGAAGGUGGGGAUGACGUCAAAUCAUCAUGCCCCUUAUGACCUGGGCUACACACGUGCUACAAUGGGAAGUACAACGAGUCGCGAAGUCGCGAGGCUAAGCUAAUCUCUUAAAGCUUCUCUCAGUUCGGAUUGUAGGCUGCAACUCGCCUACAUGAAGCCGGAAUCGCUAGUAAUCGCGGAUCAGCACGCCGCGGUGAAUACGUUCCCGGGCCUUGUACACACCGCCCGUCACACCACGAGAGUUUGUAACACCCGAAGUCGGUGAGGUAACCUUUUUGGAGCCAGCCGCCUAAGGUGGGAUAGAUGAUUGGGGUGAAGUCGUAACAAGGUAGCCGUAUCGGAAGGUGCGGCUGGAUCACCUCCUUU